CUGGGAAGAAAUCGCACAGCUGUUGUUAGAAAACAUAGUGGAAAGUUUGUCAGAUUUCUUUUGUAUUAUGGUUUGCGACAAGCAGCCCUUGUUCGUGUGUAGACAGCAAGCUCAAGUUGCACAGCAUAGGUUGAAUAUUACCAUUGACAUUGACUUAGAUCCCAUUGAGCAGUUCGGUCCAUAAAGUUGUUGGUGUAUUUCUGUGCUCCAUAUCUUAUUAAUUUGCAAGUUCGUAUAUCUGAAUCCACUGCCUGGAAAGAGGAUGGCGACCCAGGCAGGGAGAAGCGGUCACAAGAAAAAAGCGGAGUACUGUACCAAUCUAAAAUGUGCCGGCUUUGCUAUGCCUCAUGCAAUGCAACCGAAAUCUUUCUCGGUUUCAGGGAGGCCAUCGCGAAGUUUCCAAUAAGAACUCGCCACGGGCUCACUGCUGCGUCGCAGCCAGAGGGGGUGGAAAAAACGUGGCAUCAUAGGGGCGCUAAAAGAGGGGGAGAUUAUAAUUUGACCUAAAUUUAGGUGAGAUCGUAGAAUCAACUCCAAAAUUUCAUAUUUGACCUUGCAGUUAAGUUUACAACUCCAAAAAAAUCAGCUUCAAACUCGAUCCACAGUAAGAUAUUCAAAAAGAGAAAUUCAUCUAUGAAUAGUGCCAGCUUUGCAUGAAUAGUACUUGACACUAUUCACAUCCAAUUUUGUCCUUUUUAGUUCUCUAAGGGCAGUUCGAAUUAGGAGCUGAAAUUCUUUGAGGUUGUACUCCCUCCGGUCAAUUUUACUCUGCAUAUAAAAAUUGUCUGAAGUCAAACUUCAUAUUUAUAUGAAAAAAAUAUUAACAGCUACAAUGCUAAAUUUAUACAAUAUGAAAACUAAAGUCAUGACACAUCUAAUAUUGUCAAUUUCAUAUUCGGAAUGUUGGUAUUUUUUUUUCUAUAAACUUGAUCAAAGUUUACGAGGUUUGACUUCUGACAAAUCUUAUAUGCGAACUAAAAAGGACCGGAGGGAGUACAUCAUACACGGAUGUGUCCAAAAAUAUUUUUAGAAUUUUUUAACAUGUUUUGAGUCUUCUAAAAGAUUGAUCUCAUCGAAGGUUCAGGUGCGGCCGCAGGGUUGACCGUUGGUGCUGGAGAGUGGGAGUGGGGUUUGAGGCUUUAGAAGGUUAGUCAGGGUGGCGGUGCCUUUGGCCGUGGGAGGCAGUGGCGGAGCGUAGUGGGGACAAUACCGGGCCUUGGCCACCCCUUGCUAGAGAAAAAUUUACACAGUAUGUUUAUAUUUCUAUUAAUCGCUCUACUAAUCCUCCGGCCUUGUCUGAUCACCCUAGUCUUUUCUAUGUCAUACACUCGUUUUGGCCCCUCCUUACAUUUGGUUCACGCUCCGCCACUGGUGGGAGGCGAUUCGGUCUUGGGUCGGAGGGCAGUGGUGGAAGAAUGUCUUUUAAGUCGGCCUCAAAUGAUCUUGAAUUUGCUAAGUAAGAAGAGAGUUGUCUGGUUAAUUAACAGAAAAAUGGGUGAACACUGUCACAGUAUGCCUGUAAAAGCAAGGCACUUCGAGUGACCUGGCAGCCCACCCAAGAACGUACACACGUCGUCGAGGAGAAAAGCAUCACCAAGGUCGCAGCCCGGUGUCAUCGUCAUCACACCUUCGAGAGGGUGACUCGACUUCAUCAUUGACGAACACAAACUAGCUCGCAUGGCAAUACGAAUGCCGAGACCUGCGCAGGUGGAAGCCAAACAGUCAACCGCACGCGUCGGUGACCAGGCAGCUCCGACUCUGCCAACGAGCAUUGCAGGAGAAAUGCGCUGGACUUGCGCCAGGGCAACGCCAAAACCGACCACCCACCUCAGGUCAUCGUCCCUGCAAUGUCCACCUCAGCAGCUCUGACUUCAUAGAGACAAAGUGAGGCAUGACGACCCAUCAAACACGCCUUAUGAGACUGACUACCAGAGCACAACUGCAACCCUGCCUUUGCCCGAAGCCGCAUUCGUUGCCACAUAUAGGAAACUGACAUCGCAUCACUGGACGGCCACCUGCCGACCACAAUGUCGCGAGCGUUCAACCCAUGGCACAAAUGAGAUCGGAAGCUCUUUAAGGAGACACCCCAAAGAGAGGAAGUGGUGAUGUUGACGUCGUCGUACAACAUAGGCGGGCCUUAGGCUUUCAUCCAAAGAUCAAGAUCCGAGUGUGUAGGAGGAUACGGGGCUCCACGGCGAUGCCUCCAGGAAGGUGAAAAGACACCUGCAAACGUCAACACCGGCAACCAUCAAGACCAGACAAGGUUUCGCUCGGAGCAACCCAACAUCACCAACACCCCCACGCACAGCACCCCCGCUGCCCACCAACCUCUCAUAGAGCCACCGCAUUGGUAGCACUGGAGAGUCACCAAGCAGCACACUUCCCCCGCCGCCCAAACACCGACGAACCAGAUCCAACCAGAUUUGGCAUCCCACCACCGCUACGCCACCAUAGGAGCCACCAGGGCCUCGGCCCGCGCGAGGCACCGCACAGAGCAGGAAGGGGAGGAGGCACACCUGCCCCUAUUCGUCGGAGAAGAGCAAAUGACCGAAGACCAGGAGCCUGCCAGCAAAGUUGCCAUGGCUGCCACCCACGAGAGACACUGCUAGGGAGUUGCCACGCCGGAGACGAGUAGACGAGGCGCACCAGGGACGCGGGGGCCCUACGUAGAUUCGCCGUGCUACGUAGAAGAAGGGGAUCGAGCCUUCCCACCGAGCUUCUGUUAUCAAACGAGAGGAGGACGCCCCCGCCCCCGUGCUACGCAGAAAAAGGUGAUCAAACCUUCCCACUCUGAGCUUCUGUAGCCAAACGAGAGGAAGAUGACCCCUUCGCCGCUUGGGCUUAGCCCGGCGGCCUCCUCCGAUGACGGCGAGGAAGGAAGGGGGCGGGAGGGCGGCCCCGGCUAGGUUUCUACCCGUGUCGCCUUGGACAAGAGGACGCAGGGGCUUUUUGGAAGGGGAAAGUCCAUUUUAAACCCGCGAACUCGUAGAGGUUCGGCGAAAUGAACCAUCAAGUCAAAAUUCCCAUCGAUUGCGCCCUGAACUAUGCAAUCUCGGUCUAAAUCAAACCCUGGCAUCAUUUGAGGCAUAAAAACCCUAAAGUGGCUAGCUCGUGGGGCAAGGACCGGCAAUGUUGACUACGGCGCGCACCUGUCCUCCGUGCUGGGCAGCUCAUUUGUAUUUUUUUGUAUGCUAAAAAUGGUUUUCUAUAAUAUUGCUAAACAAAGGUGCGCGCGCACAUGUCCUCUGCGCUGGGCUAGCCCUUUUGUAUUUUUUUACCUGAUAAAAUUGUCUUUUUCCUGUUACACUGCUAGAAAAAAGGUGCGCGCACAAGGUGAUUCAAACUUGCGACCUCCGCUUUCGAUGCAAACUAUCCUUACCAACCACGUCGCCUCACCUCUUGUGGAUAAUUUAUUCCAAUUUCUUUUUUAUUUUGUUCAUGGAAGCUCAUUAUACAGUUCUUCUUUCUUUUUCCUUUUUAUCUAAUUCAUUUUUUAAAAUUUGUGAACCUUUUUAUAGAACUCGUGGAGUUUUUCGAAUCCAUGAACCUUUUUUAAAUCCAUGAACUUUUUCUAGUUUUACAAUUUUUUUUCCCAAAAUCCAUGCACUUUUCUUUUGAAAAUCCAUGAACUUCUCAAAAACUGUGAACUUUUUCUAAAUUCAUGAACUUUUAAAAAAAUAUGACAUUUUUUCCUUCUGAAAAUCUGGUUCACGACGUUUUUUUGGUGCUAUUUCCUACUAAGAUGACCACGAAUUUAAUAAAAAUGAAAACAAAAAAGAAAAAGAAAAAGAAAAAAGAAAAAAAAGAAAGAAGAAAAAGAUGACAAAGGGAUCAAGUGAACACGACAGAUGCACUGUCCUAGUGGUUACUUAUGUUGACCAACAACAGGUGGUCUCGGCUUCAAGUCAAUCGACCGGGAUUUCAAGUAGUUUGAGGUGCAAUCGACUGGGAUACACCGGGGUUUAAUUUAGACUGGGUGCAAUCGACGACUGGGAUACAUCGGGGUUUAAUGUGGACUGGGUGCAAUCAACCGGGAUUUUAAGGUGCAAUGACCGAGAUACACCGGAGUUUAAUUUAGAUUGCGUACAUGUGCAAUCGAUCAGGAUUUCGGGAUUUCAAUGUUCAGGUGCAAUCAAUCGGGAUUUCACGUCGUUCAGGUUGCAAUCGAUUUCAAGUAGUUCGAGAACGAUUGCAAUCGAUUUCAAGUAGUUCGAGGUGCAAUCGACUGGGAUACACCCGGGUUUAAUUUAGACUGAAUGCAAUCGACCGGAAUUUCAACACCAGUGUUUAAUUUAGACUGGGUGCCACGUCGUUCAGGGUGCACACCCGGGUUUAAUUUAGACUGAAUGCAAUCGACCGGGAUUUCAACACCAGGGUUUAAUUUAGACUGGGUGCCACGUCGUUCAGGGUGCAAUCGAUUGCACCAAUCAACUGGGAUACACCGAGGUUUAAUUUAGACUAGGUGCAAUCGACCGGGAUUUUAAGGUGCAACGACCGAGAUACACCAGAGUUUAAUUUAGAUUGCGUUAUAGGUGCAAUCAAUCGGGAUUUCGGGAUUUCAAUGUUCAGGUGCAACCGAUCGGGAUUUCAAGGGAUUUCAAGUCGUUUAGGGUGCAAUCGAUAGGGAUACAUCUGGGUUUAAUCUAGAUUGGGAUUUCAAGCCGCUCAGAGUGCAGUGCAAUCGAUAGGGAUACAUUGGGGGUUCAAUCUAGAUUGGGUUUAGGUGCAACCAACCGGGAUUUCAAGUCGUUGAUAUACUGGGAUAUCAAGUCAUUCGAUACACCGGGGGGGAUUUCAAGUCGUUUUUUUUUUUACGGUGGAAAACAAUUUCAUUAACCACUGGGCUCAGCAACAUCGCUGGCUACCAAGUCGGUUGUUCAGGGUGCAAUCGACCGGGUCAAGUCGUUUUCUUCUCGCCAAAUCUCUACAAGUUCGGGGUUUAAAUGGACCUAAUCCCUUUUUGAACCGCACCAACGAAAAAAUCGGUGGAAGGUUGAAUGGCGGUGGAGGAAGAAUGUGAGAGGAUGUACAUGAACAGUGCACAUCACGGGAUUUGACUGAAAGUUAAGGAAACAAUCUUCAGGCGGUCCCAAAAUGUGCAUUUCCAAGCCACAGUUAACGUCAGUAAUGUCCAGCGAUGUACUAUCAGCAUCAGUCUUGGCGUCCGAGUCUCGGAAAGACGGACAAGCGUGUUCCCAAGAGUUUGUCUAAAGUAGUUUAACGCCCGUGUUAUUGUUUUGCACACUGACACUGCAGAUCUUACGCACACUUCCAUUCUAUAUUAUACAAGAAACGACUAGACGAGCACGUCACAAAAAAAAAACCGACUCGA
rnacentral:lncRNA from 1 species